CAGCAGCCGCGGGAAUACGGAGGGUGCAAGCGUUAUCCGGAUUUAUUGGGUUUAAAGGGUCCGUAGGCGGAUCUGUAAGUCAGUGGUGAAAUCUCACAGCUUAACUGUGAAACUGCCAUUGAUACUGCAGGUCUUGAGUAAAUUUGAAGUGGCUGGAAUAAGUAGUGUAGCGGUGAAAUGCAUAGAUAUUACUUAGAACACCAAUUGCGAAGGCAGGUCACUAAGAUUUAACUGACGCUGAUGGACGAAAGCGUGGGGAGCGAACAGGAUUAGAUACCCGCGUAGUCCCUGUCUCUUAUAA
rnacentral:rRNA from 1 species